rnacentral:ncRNA from 1 species
AUUUAUGAGUUCAAAUUUGAAUACAUGAUUUGUUCAACAAAGGGAAGACGGUGCGAAUCCGUCGCGGGCCCGCCGCUGUAACCGGGACGAAACCCUCCGAUGCCACUGUUCGCGUGCGAAUGGGAAGGUGGGGGCGAGUAGGUCGAACCGGAAGCCAGAAGACCUUGCUGAACGAAUGUUUUUCAA